rnacentral:rRNA from 1 species
UACGGAGGGUGCAAGCGUUAUCCGGAUUCACUGGGUUUAAAGGGUGCGUAGGUGGGUCUGUAAGUCAGUGGUGAAAUCUCCAGGCUUAACCUGGAAACUGCCAUUGAUACUAUAGGUCUUGAAUUAUCCGGAGGUCAGCGGAAUAUGUCAUGUAGCGGUGAAAUGCUUAGAUAUGACAUAGAACACCAAUUGCGAAGGCAGCUGACUACAGGUUGAUUGACACUGAGGCACGAAAGCGUGGGGAUCAAACAGG